AGCUCCAAUAGCGUAUAUUAAAGUUGUUGCAGUUAAAAAGCUCGUAGUUGAAACUCUGGUAGUUGGGCUGUUCGCUCUUGAGCGAAUUGCCCGCUGCCAUCCGCCUGUGAGCGAGUGCCCUGUCUUCACCGACAGUCCUCGCGAACUGGCAUUUUACCUUGAGAAAAACAGAGUGUUCCAGGCAGGUUUGUCCGGAAUGCAUUAGCAUGGAAUAAUAGAAUACGACUGAUAUUCAAGCAUUGGUUGAGAGAUCAGUAAUGAUUAAUAGGAACAGUCGGGGGCAUUGGUACUUGACAGUCAGAGGUGAAAUUCGUAGAUUUGUCAAAGACUAACAAAUGCGAAAGCAUUUGCCAAGGAUGUUUUCA
rnacentral:rRNA from 1 species